rnacentral:rRNA from 1 species
GAUGAACGCUGGCGGCGUGCCUAAUACAUGCAAGUCGAGCGAACGGACGAGAAGCUUGCUUCUCUGAUGUUAGCGGCGGACGGGUGAGUAACACGUGGAUAACCUACCUAUAAGACUGGGAUAACUUCGGGAAACCGGAGCUAAUACCGGAUAAUAUUUUGAACCGCAUGGUUCAAAAGUGAAAGACGGUCUUGCUGUCACUUAUAGAUGGAUCCGCGCUGCAUUAGCUAGUUGGUAAGGUAACGGCUUACCAAGGCAACGAUGCAUAGCCGACCUGAGAGGGUGAUCGGCCACACUGGAACUGAGACACGGUCCAGACUCCUAAGGGAGGCAGAAGUAGGGAAUCUUCCGCAAUGGGCGAAAGCCUGACGGAGCAACGCCGCGUGAGUGAUGAAGUUCUUCGGAUCGUAAAACUCUGUUAUUAGGGAAGAACAUAUGUGUAAGUAACUGUGCACAUCUUGACGGUACCUAAUCAGAAAGCCACGGCUAACUAAGUG